rnacentral:lncRNA from 1 species
AAUGGAUAUCCUGUAGGCGGUUUAGAUGCUACCUUGGGGAAAGGUGUACAGCUGCAAAUAAUUUCUUUAGCUUUUGCUAAUCCUAUCUUUUGUCUGUUAUAGGGCAACUGAAGCAGUUUUCUGUGGACUGAGUGCCUGACUUUCUCAUUGUCUUUUGUUCACACUGGAUUUUUCCUCUUCCUAAAAUAACUUGGUCCUGCAAACAAACCAUUCAGCAGCCUGGAACUUGAAACUCAAACUGAAAAAAGGGCAGAGAGACUAGAAGUGGAUCCAUUCCAAUUCAGUCACUGACUUCCCUUCAGAGACUGCCUUCAAAUUGGUUCAAGUUACAGUAACAGUUUUCAUGAUAGAAACACAGUUUUGGUUGUA